rnacentral:rRNA from 1 species
GACGAACGCUGGCGGCGUGCUUAACACGUGCAAGUCGAACGGAAGGGCCCUGCUUUUGUGGGGUGCUCGAGUGGCGAACGGGUGAGUAACACGUGAGUAACCUGCCCUUGACUUUGGGAUAACUUCAGGAAACUGGGGCUAAUACCGGAUAGGAGCUCCUGCUGCAUGGUGGGGGUUGGAAAGUUUCGGCGGUUGGGGAUGGACUCGCGGCUUAUCAGCUUGUUGGUGGGGUAGUGGCUUACCAAGGCUUUGACGGGUAGCCGGCCUGAGAGGGUGACCGGCCACAUUGGGACUGAGAUACGGCCCAGACUCCUACGGGAGGCAGCAGUGGGGAAUAUUGCACAAUGGGCGGAAGCCUGAUGCAGCAACGCCGCGUGCGGGAUGACGGCCUUCGGGUUGUAAACCGCUUUCGCCUGUGACGAAGCGUGAGUGACGGUAAUGGGUAAAGAAGCACCGGCUAACUACGUG